rnacentral:rRNA from 1 species
UUCCGGUUGAUCCCGCCGGAGGUCAUUGCUAUCGGGGUCCGAUUUAGCCAUGCUAGUUGUACGAGUUCAGACUCGUAGCGGAUAGCUCCGUAACACGUGGCCAAACUACCCUACAGAGAACGAUAACCUCGGGAAACUGAGGCUAAUAGUUCAUACCGUACCCACGCUGGAAUGCCGGGUACCAGAAACGCUCCGGCGCUGUAGGAUGUGGCUGCGGCCGAUUAGGUAGACGGUGGGGUAACGGCCCACCGUGCCGAUAAUCGGUACGGGUUGUGAGAGCAAGAACCCGGAGACGGAAUCUGAGACAAGAUUCCGGGCCCUACGGGGCGCAGCAGGCGCGAAACCUUUACACUGCACGACAGUGCGACAAGGGGACCCCGAGUGCGAGGGCAUACAGUCCUCGCUUUUGUGAACCGUAAGGAGGUUCACGAAUAAGAGCUGGGCAAGACCGGUGCCAGCCGCCGCGGUAAUACCGGCAGCUCGAGUGAUGACCGAUUUUAUUGGGCCUAAAGCGUCCGUAGCUGGCCGCGUAAGUUCAUCGGGAAAUCCAUCCGCUCAACGGAUGGGCGUCCGGUGAAAACUACACGGCUUGGAGCCGGAAGACCCAAGGGGUACGUCCGGGGUAGGAGUGAAAUCCUGUAAUCCUGGACGGACCGCCGAUGGCGAAAGCACCUUGGGAAGACGGACUCGACAGUGAGGGACGAAAGCUAGGGUCUCGAACCGGAUUAGAUACCCGGGUAGUCCUAGCCGUAAACGAUGCCUGUUAGGUGUGGCACCCACUACGAGUGGGUGCUGUGCCGUAGGGAAGCCGCUAAACAGGCCGCCUGGGAAGUACGUCCGCAAGGAUGAAACUUAAAGGAAUUGGCGGGGGAGCACUACAACCGGAGGAGCCUGCGGUUUAAUUGGAUUCAACGCCGGG